rnacentral:rRNA from 1 species
AUUGAACGCUGGCGGCAUGCUUUACACAUGCAAGUCGGACGAGUGGCGAACGGGUGAGUAACGCAUCGGAACGUGCCGAGUAAUGGGGGAUAACUGUCCGAAAGGACAGCUAAUACCGCAUAUUAUUUGAGAGGCCCAUGUGGGAUUAGCUGGUAGGCGGGGUAAAGGCCCACCGAGGCGACGAUCAGUAGCGGGUCUGAGAGGAUGAUCAGCCACACGGGGAGUGAGACACGGCCCAGACUCCUACGGGAGGCAGCAGUGGGGAAUUUUGGACAAUGGGCGCAAGCCUGAUGCAGCCAUGCCGCUUGUAUGAAGAAGGCCUUAGGGUUGUAAAGGACUUUUGUCGGGGAGGCGGUACCUGAAGAAGAAGCACCGGCUAACUACGUGCCAGCAGCCGCGGUAAUAC